AUUGAACGCUGGCGGCAGGCCUAACACAUGCAAGUCGAGCGAGCGGCGGACGGGUGAGAAAUGUAUGGGGACUGCCCGAUAGAGGGGGAUAACUACUGGAAACGGUGGCUAAUACCGCAUACUAUCGGAUAACCCAUAUGGGCUUAGCGAGUAGGUGGGGGAAAGGCUCACCUAGGCGAAGAGCUAUAGAUGGUCUGAGAGGAUGAUCGGCCACACUGGGUCAGAGACACGGCCCGUGCUCCUAAGGAGGCAGCAGUGGGGAAGAGUGCACAAUGGGCGCAAGCCUGAUGCGGCCAUGCAGCGUGUAUGAAGAGGGCCUUAGGGUUGGAAAGUACUGUGAGCGGGGAGGCGUUACCCGCAGAAGAAGCACCGGCUAACUCCGUGCCAGCAGCCGCGGUAAUAC
rnacentral:rRNA from 1 species